rnacentral:rRNA from 1 species
AUGGCCACUCGCCGGAGCCCCGCCACCACCCACCACCGACUCCUCCUACUCCUCCUCCCCUUGCUGCUAAUCGGCUCGUUCCUCCUCCCCCUCUCGUCCGCCUACCGCCCCGGCGACAUCAUCCCCAUGCUCCGCUCCGGCCAGUACCACGGCUCGAGGUCGGUGUGGUUCGACGUCAUCGGCCGCCACUGCCCGGUCUUCGCGGUCAACCGGGAGGUGCUGAUGCCGAUCCCCAAGCCGACGGGGUUCACCGGUGCGGAUCCGUAUAAGAUAACAUUUCAGAUUGGACACGAAAAGUUCCAUGUUCCUUGGCUUUAUGUUAUUAAUCGCAAAAGCUCUGAAGUUCCACUGAUUGAUUUCCAUUUAAAAUACACUGGAAACGAUUUGCUUGGUGUUACGGCUAAAGUAGUGGACAUGCCUCACCAUUUUGUGGAACUUCAUCCUGACAUAAAGAAGAAUUUCUGGGAUCCACAGAAUUGGCCAAAAUAUGUACUUGUUAGUUAUACAUGGGAGGAACAAUCAGAGAUAGAUGUUACUGCAGGAUUCUAUGUGUUAUUUGGAUCUGGCCUUGUUCUUUCCUUCAUCCUUGCAAUCUAUGUAUUGCAAUCAUCUCAAGAUAAAUUAACAAGGUUUGUACGAGAAGCGGUUUCUGAUAGCAGUCUACCUGAAGGAGGGGUUGCAAAGGUUGAGUGA